AGCGCCGCCGCAAACUCAACCAAUGAGGCGGCUUCUAACCGCUUCGGCGUCUCUGUCUCCAGGAGCGGCGGGAAUCCUGGUCUCUCAGAGCCGCUUUCAAACUGCAGCCACCCUGGUGCUUGUGUCCUGACUGCUGUGCCAGGGUCGGGCUAGGGACAUGAAUUGGCUGUGACUGACGUCUGGUUCAGAGCUGAGAAUUUUCAGUCUUCAGUCCAGUGAAAAGCAUGCAUGGUUGGCUCAGGACUGGGACACUAGCAAAAUGUGGAACACACAGGGAUCAGCAGGAGCCCAGCGCAACCUUCCUUUCAGCUGAUUCAACUACUACUGUUGGCUGUAGCAGUGCCAAUGCAGAGGAGGCCGUGCAUGAUUUACAAGUUCAGCCUGGGACAGGUGUGACAGCGCAGGACACAGAAAGGGUGUCAAAAAAAUGCAAGUAUGAUAAAAGCUACAUUGAACUUGAAUUUACAUGGACUGGGGACACUGAAUAUCCUCAGCCACAGUGUGUCUUAUGUGGUGAAGUUUUACCAAACAACAGUCUUAAACCUUCCCUUCUUUGCCAGCAUCUAGAGACUAAGCACAAUCAAUUUAAAGACAAACCGGCUCAGUUUUUCAAUCGCAAACUGGAAGAGCUAAAAAGCAGUAAAAAAUUCUGCCAUCAAAUUGCAUGGAAAAUGUAAAUACACUUCGAGCUUCAGACUUCAUGAGUUAGAGUGGCUAAAAUAGGAGAACCACACACUAUUACAGAAGAUUUCCUUAUACCUGCUGUGAAGGUCGUGGUGAAGUGCGUGCUCGAUGAAAAAGUAGGAAAAAAACUUGAUUCCAUACCCCUCUCCCAUGACACUGCGUCUCGCUGCAUUGCCGAUAUGGCUGAAAAUGUUUUCAUUAGAAACAGUGACUAAUAUUCUUUGCAAAUAGACAAGUGCAUGGAUUUAGACAGCCUAGCUAAGCUUUUGGUUUAUGUUCGUUAUCUGUAUGAAAAUACCAUACAUGAAGACUUUCUCUUUUGUCAUUCCCUGCCUACCCAAACAACAGGAGAAGAGAUUUUUUUUGCUGCUUGAUAACUUCAUGAGUGAGAAUAGAAUUGACUGGUCUCGCUGUGUAGGGAUUUCUACUGAUGGGGCAAAAUCGAUGAUGGAAAAGCACAAUGGAGUUGUGGUUUGCAUCAAGGCCAUAGUAACAGAAGCCAUAUGGGUGUACUGCAGCAUUGAUAGAGAGGCCCCAGCUUCCCCAAAAAUGCCGGAAAAUUUAAUGUCAGUGUUGUCUGAUGCUGUCAAAAUGGUUAACUUCAUUAAGGGUCAGUGUCUAAAUUCAAGAACUUUUGCCACCCUGUGUGAUGAAAUGGGAAAUGACCAUUUGCCACUACUAUUGCAUACUGAGGUUCACUGGCUGUCGUUUGGCAAAGUGCUGACACAACUCUUUGAGCUGCACAGUGAGCUUCAAGUUUUUUUCACUGGCCACCUCCCGUUUGCACUGGUCAUCUUGCUUGGACGAUACUGCCUGGCUUCAGCGAUUAGCCUACUUGGCAGACAUUUUUUCUUGCCUCAACGAGCUCAGUUUAGGCCUUCAGGGCUUAAGCACCACUAUUUUUGAAACACAAGACAAAAUCGAAUCCAUGAUAAAGAAACUACGAUUUUGGGAUAGCUGCUUAAACAGAAAUAUGAUUAAUUGCUUUCCAACAUGUCAAUUGUUUCUUGCAACAAAUGACAAUAUGCUUUUACAUGAGAGUGUGUGAAAGCUGACAUGGAGCAUUUGCAACAACUUAGCAAACAACUUAGAAAAUAUUUCCCCAAAAUGGACAAUGCAAAUUCCUGGAUACGCAAUCCAUUUAAGGUGCUUCAGUCUCUCCCAAUCCCUCCUCUGCCAGUGCGUGAGCAGGAGAAAUUGUUAGAUCUCUCUUGUGACAGUGGUCUUAAAUUGCCAAAGUUUGCAUUCAGACUGUAGACUUCUGGGUGCAAAGGGUGGAAGAUUACCCAUACGUGUCAUAACAAGCUGUCAAGUUUCUGAUGCCCUUCUCCACAAUAUACCUUUGUGAGACUGGAUUCUCUGCCCUCAUAGCGAUUAAGACAGAAUACCCUCAGAAAUUAAAUGCUGAAAAUGACUUGUGACUGAAGCUCUCUCCAAUUUUCCCUGCCAUCAGUGAUUUGUGUGAUAAAACCCAUCACACUGAUAGGCCCUGCACAGCUACAUACACUGCAUAUGAGGAGGAGGAGCAGGCAAAGAUUGGGAAGAAGAGACCGGAGAUGGAGAGCUGGGCUGGGGUGAAGGGAAGCUGGAGACCGUGGGGGGUGAAGGAGGAAGGGGAAUUAACUAGUGCAGACCAGCAUGUCCAAGUAGUUAUGGAGGUGUGCAGUGACUGAGGCUGCAGAAGAAGAUCUUGUGGAGGGACUGGCCUCCCUGAGACAAUUCACACAUCCUAACCAGCUCUGCCUCUGCCGGUUUUUCUCCCUUUAGUGUCUCGCCCACCUUUAUCGCAACUUCCUACCUGGAGACCCAGGUGGCUAAGACUCAGGAAUGCAAUUCCUACUCCAGGGGAAGGAGACAUUCUAAUAUUAAAGGAAAGUCAGAAUAGGAACCAGGACGUAGCAGUGAUCAAAUCAGUUUCUAAAUGAACCCAAAACACAUCUCUGAAAGUCUCUUCCUUACCCUUGCAUUCAGCUGGGAGCUGCAUUCCCAGAAUUGUGUUCUGCAAAAUGGUGGCCUCCUAAGUCAUUUCAUUAUUUUGUUAAUUGUUGUUGACAGUUUAAUAAUUUCUGAAGUUAUUUCAGCUUCAUAGCGACUGGAUGCCAUGACUAGAAUCCCCUUGUGUCAGUUUCCCGGCGUUAUGGAGUCU